rnacentral:rRNA from 1 species
GACGAACGCUGGCGGCGUGCUUAACACAUGCAAGUCGAACGGAAAGGCCCUGCUUGCAGGGUACUCGAGUGGCGAACGGGUGAGUAACACGUGGGUGAUCUGCCCUGCACUUCGGGAUAAGCCUGGGAAACUGGGUCUAAUACCGGAUAGGAGCCAUUUUUAGUGUGAUGGUUGGAAAGUUUUUUCGGUGUAGGAUGAGCUCGCGGCCUAUCAGCUUGUUGGUGGGGUAAUGGCCUACCAAGGCGGCGACGGGUAGCCGGCCUGAGAGGGUGGACGGCCACAUGGGGACUGGGAUACGGCCCGGCCCCAGACGGGGGGCAGCAGGGGGGAAUAGUGCAAAAUGGGCGAAAGCCUGAUGCAGCGACGCCGCGGGGGGGAUGACGGCUGUGGGGUUGUAAAUUCCUUUCGCUAGGGCCAAAGCUUUUUGUGCGGGUACCUAGAUAAGAGGCACGGACAAACUAGGUC